GUGGGAGCCGGGCUUGCCCGCGAUGCAGGCACCGCGGUGUUUAGCUCAAACCGAGGCGAUGCUAUCGCGGGCAAGCCCGGCUCCCAC
rnacentral:misc_RNA from 1 species